AACGUAGGAGACAAACGUUAUCCGGAGUUACUGGGCGUAAAGGGCGCGUAGGCGGCGACCCAAGUCAGAUGUGAAAGUCCUGGGCUUAACCUGGGGACUGCAUUUGAUACUGGGUUGCUUGAAUUCGGGAGAGGAUAGCGGAAUUCCCAGUGUAGAGGUGAAAUUCGUAGAUAUUGGGAAGAACACCGGUGGCGAAGGCGGCUAUCUGGACCGACAUUGACGCUGAGGCGCGAAAGCGUGGGGAGCAAACAGG
rnacentral:rRNA from 1 species